GCAGCUAGAUGUCACAUAAGAUUUAUUCUCAGUUAUGUCUGAGAGCAUCUGAGAAACUUGAUUAUACAACAUGGUUUGUGUCUAGAAUGAAAGUUUUUUUUUGUGGCGCUAAGAUUCAACCUUUUCCAAUGAAUCAACAGAAGAACCAAAUGAACCUUUUGGUAAUACUUGAGGUUUCUGUUCCUGGUUACUAAAACUCAAUUACAUUGUCAGUGAAUGAAGGACAUCUUCUAUAUUUUGUGGAAAAACAGUCGUAAUAAUAUUCUUUAUUAUUUCAAGUAAUCUAUUAC
rnacentral:lncRNA from 1 species